UACGGGGGGGCAAGCGUUGUUCGGAAUUACUGGGCGUAAAGGGCUCGUAGGUGGUCAACUAAGUCGGACGUGAAAUCCCUCGGCUUAACCGGGGAACUGCGUCCGAUACUGGAUGACUUGAGUUCGGGAGAGGGAUGCGGAAUUCCGAGGUGUAGCGGUGAAAUGCGUAGAUAUCUGGAGGAACACCGGUGGCGAAGGCGGCAUCCUGGACCGACACUGACGCUGAGGAGCGAAAGCCAGGGGAGCAAACGGG
rnacentral:rRNA from 1 species